GUAGGUGAACCUGCGGAAGGAUCAUUACCGAUUUUAGCGAACCUGGCCUUUGGUCAUGGUCUCGCGAAAACUUGUAUUUAAAACCCCACUCUUAUAAAACGAAAUAUUUUGUAUAUAUAAAUAAAAUAAGAUCACUUUCAACAACGGAUCUCUUGGCUCUCGCAUCGAUGAAGAACGCAGCAUCUGACUGACUGCACUCGUUAGA
rnacentral:misc_RNA from 1 species